UUUGAUGGUGGCCAUGCGUAGGGCGCUCUCGAGCGCGCCGGAGUUCAUGUGGGCCGGUCUACCAACCUUCGUAUGGCCGCCACCCUC
rnacentral:antisense_RNA from 3 species